ACCGGUACAUUAGUAUCUUUAGCUGUUUACAAUUUUUUUGUCCCUCCUGUUUUUAGAGUAGCCUCCACCAGGCCUAUUUAAGGGGGUACGGAAUGUAGAAAUCCGAAAAAGAACGGAGAAUUGGACAGGAGAGUCAGUCCACGCUAAGUAUACGUUUUCUUUUCGUGGCAAUUCAAAUGCUUUGGUACCCAAAAUCCCCUGCAGCCUGGCAAUUGCAAAUUGCCCUCCGCCAUUGUAUUCAGUCUGGUAGAGACUACUUAACAAGUCGCAAGCAAGUCUGUACACCAGGAUAACAGAUCUAGGAUCACCACAACACUACCAGACAUGACCAACAAGGCACGGUGCUCUCUUGGUAACUUUCGGAAGUCCAGAGCUUUGGUGCUGAUCGUAGCAUUUCUAGCAAUGUUUGUGGACACCGUACUGACAACUGUUCUGAGACCCAUCAUGCCAGAUUACUUAUACAGAUUAGAACACCCAAACUACACCGGCGCCAUCAUCACUAGCAAACACAUCGACAACAAGCCAGUAACGCCUUGCAAAGGAGUAGCAACAUGUCUACCAAUUGCGCCUUCACAAAAUCUUCAACGAAUAAAACAGUUGGAGAAACUGAGCGUCAAGCUGGGGAUUCUGUACGCUGCUGGUCCGGCUUCGUCCCUCAUAACAAAUCCUAUUGCUGGAUGGUUGGCUGAUAGGUAACGCUUUGAUUUACAGUUGGUUGAUAGGUAACACUCUGAUUAACAGUUAGUUGAUAGGUAACACUUGAUUAACAGUUGGCUGAUAGGUAACACUUUGAUUUAACAGUUGGUUGAUACGUAACACUUUGAUUAACAGUUGGUUGAUAGGUAACACUUUGAUUGACAGUUGGGUAAUAGGUAACACUUUGAUUAACAGUUGGUUAAUAGGUAACGCUUUGAUUAACAGUUGGCUGAUAGGUAACACUUUGUUUAACAGUUGGUUAAUAGGUAACGCUUUGAUUAACAGUUGGUUAAUAGGUAACGCUUUG